rnacentral:rRNA from 1 species
GUGGGGAAUCUUAGACAAUGGGGGAAACCCUGAUCUAGCCAUGCCGCGUGAGCGAUGAAGGCCUUAGGGUUGUAAAGCUCUUUCAGCUGGGAAGAUAAUGACGGUACCAGCAGAAGAAGCCCCGGCUAACUCCGUGCCAGCAGCCGCGGUAAUACGGAGGGGGCUAGCGUUAUUCGGAAUUACUGGGCGUAAAGCGCGCGUAGGCGGACCAGAAAGUUGGAGGUGAAAUCCCAGGGCUCAACCUUGGAACUGCCUUCAAAACUCCUGGUCUGGAGUUCGAGAGAGGUGAGUGGAAUCCCGAGUGUAGAGGUGAAAUUCGUAGAUAUUCGGAGGAACACCAGUGGCGAAGGCGGCUCACUGGCUCGAUACUGACGCUGAGGUGCGAAAGCGUGGGGAGCAAACAGGAUUAGAUACCCGAGUAGUCC